UGGCCCAGUGGUUAAGGCAAUCGACUGCUAAUUGAAAGGCUGGUGGUUUGAAACCACU
rnacentral:tRNA from 1 species